CUCCAGGGUAAAGUCACCUAAAGGUUGCGGGUUCAAAUCCCGACCAUCUUUUUUUCCCCCUUUUUCGUUCUUCUUUCUUCAGGGUUGAAAUCGAGAGAGGAGAUCGAGAUGAAGAAAGAAAUUGAGCAGAGAAGUUUGGGUUUGUGUCGAAAUUGAAGAAUCAGAAUAUGGGUUUCGAAGUGAUGGGACUUUGAUGGAGUUGUAGAAAGGGGAUCUGAGCUGUUAUUGUUGAUGAAUUUGAAUCUGUUAUAGGAGAUAAAGCUGCUGUGAAGAACAUAGAUCGAGAUGUAGAAACUAUGUCUGUGUUUACGGAAAUUUGAGUUGUAUUUGGAGAUCGACAUGGUUGAUUGGACAGAGAAGACUGGAAGAGGAGAUGCAAUUCUGUGAACAGUUGAGAUGAACAAGAAUUGGAUCUGGGAAGCGGAAAUUGAUGAUACAGUGUGUUAAGGGCUUGAGGUGAAGAACAAUGGCUGCUGUCAGUUAGAAAUGGGUUUCGGGUGGUUUGUCAGGGAAAAAACUCUUUAAAGAUCUGAGUAAUGAAUUAGAAGAACGUAUUAUUGGAAUGCAUAAGGAACAGAUUGAGAAAUGGCAGGAUGAGAUGAAGGAACUGAGAUCACUGGAUGCGAUGAAUGAAGAAGCAAAUAAUGGUCUUCAUAUGACUCGCUCGCUAUUCCAGAUUGUUCAGAUGUGAUCCCCAUUGAUAAGAAUCAAAUGGUAGGGUGAUAUUAAGGAACUGAGAUCACUCGCUGUCUGCUUCAGAAGGGUCAGGUUUUGAUUCUUGAUAAGGCAGUAGUAGUAUUAGUAUCAACAAACAAAUAAUAAGAAUUUUAGUUUACACGUUUGAACAUUAUUUAGCUGUAAGUUGCUCAUUUGCAUCGAAUUAUUUGAAUUGUUUUUUAGGAGCAUGCAUCUAAUGUUGUAUAGUUUGUUGUUGUUCAUGAUAAUACUGCUUCCAGAUU